GACGAACGCUGGCGGCGUGCUUAACACAUGCCAGUCGAGCGGUAAGGCCUUUCGGGGUGCACGAGCGGCGAACGGGUGAGUAACACGUGGGUGAUCUGCCCUGCACUUCGGGAUAAGCCUGGGAAACUGGGUCUAAUACCGGAUAUGACCUCCUAUCGCAUGGUGGGUGGUGGAAAGAUUUAUCGGUGCAGGAUGGGCCCGCGGCCUAUCAGCUUGUUGGUGGGGUAAUGGCCUACCAAGGCGACGACGGGUAGCCGACCUGAGAGGGUGACCGGCCACACUGGGACUGAGACACGGCCCAGACUCCUACGGGAGGCAGCAGUGGGGAAUAUUGCACAAUGGGCGAAAGCCUGAUGCAGCGACGCCGCGUGAGGGAUGACGGCCUUCGGGUUGUAAACCUCUUUCAGCAGGGACGAAGCGCAAGUGACGGUACCUGCAGAAGAAGCACCGGCUAACUACGUG
rnacentral:rRNA from 1 species